rnacentral:rRNA from 1 species
GAUGAACGCUGGCGGCGUGCCUAAUACAUGCAAGUCGAGCGAACAGACGAGGAGCUUGCUCCUCUGACGUUAGCGGCGGACGGGUGAGUAACACGUGGAUAACCUACCUAUAAGACUGGGAUAACUUCGGGAAACCGGAGCUAAUACCGGAUAAUAUAUUGAACCGCAUGGUUCAAUAGUGAAAGACGGUUUUGCUGUCACUUAUAGAUGGAUCCGCGCCGCAUUAGCUAGUUGGUAAGGUAACGGCUUACCAAGGCAACGAUGCGUAGCCGACCUGAGAGGGAGAGGGGCCAAGAGUGAGAGGGGAAGCGGGAAAGAGGAAGGCGGGAGGAAGCAGGAGGGAAGGGGAGGCAAUGGGCGAAAGCUGGACGGAGUAAAGUAGGGGGAGGGAGGAAGGGGGUAGGGGAGUAAAAAUGUGUUAGUAGGGAAGAACAAAUGGGUAAGUAAAGAUGCAAGGAGGGACGGGACCUAAGCAGAAAGCCAGGGCUAAAGAGGUG